rnacentral:tRNA from 1 species
GAAGUUAUGGCGAAAUUGGUAGACGCGUUAGUUUCAAAAACUAAUAAUAUAUUCAUUGUGAGGGUUCAAGUCCCUCUAACUUCA